ACAAAAGCCAAGUUUUAAAAGCUAAAUUUUCCUUCUAUUAGUUCAUCCGCUCUUUCCUUCUCUUUUCAACACACCCAACAAAGUUUAAAGUGCAGAGUAAUCAAGCAGAUUCAGAUCCAAAUUCAUUGUUAAAUUGUUGAUUCGCAGAUCCAACUUUGUGAGUUCAGAAAAUUAUCAAGGUCCGGGCGACAGAAAGUGAAGCAGAAGAAGAAACGACUCCACGCCAGCUUUAAGAACAAUUGAGGUUGAGCAGGCGAUGGAAUGGAUCGGUGUUGAGCGGAUUUCCCUUUUGAUGUUUAUGUAAUGAAACCUUGAGUAUGCAUCUCCAUAUGCAUAACUCACACGUUUUUCCGCUGCAAACACUCUGAAUUUGUUAUCGUAUUGUGGAACUUAUUACUUCUUCAUUUUGUUUAACUUUCAUUUGGGGUUUA